ensembl:misc_RNA
AAGCCCAAGCAGGGAUCUGUGUGAUUACUGUUCUUUUGCCAAGACGCGGGGUGGACAAUUAGAUUCCUUUACAAAGCACUGGUGUGUUUGGUGCUGCAAAAAGGGGCUCAUUGGAAAUGGGGAGGAUCGGGUGGUAAGCCAGAG